rnacentral:rRNA from 1 species
UACGUAGGUGACCAGCGUUGUCCGGAUUUACUGGGCGUAAAGAGCGCGCAGGCGGUCGUUCAAGUCGAGUGUGAAAGCCCCCGGCUCAACUGGGGAGGGUCAUUCGAUACUGAUCGACUUGAAGGCAGGAGAGGGAAGUGGAAUUCCCGGUGCAGUGGUGAAAUGCGUAGAUAUCGGGAGGAACACCAGUGGCGAAGGCGACUUCCUGGCCUGUUCUUGACGCUGAGGCGCGAAGCUAGGGGAGCAAACGGG